GUUUUGAGCAAGACAGGUUAUUUGCAUCAUCACUGAAUGGGCUUACAGUGAUGCUAACAGGGCAAGGUGCCACAAAAAAUAGGGUCUUUCCAUGUGAA